AGGAUAAACGCUGGCAGCGUGCCUAACACAUGCAAGUCGAACGCGCUUGCUAUCCGCGAGGACGGUGAGCGAGUGGCGGACGGGUGAGGAACACGUGGGUGACCUACCUUUCAGUGAGGGAUACCGGCGAGAAAUUGCCGACAAGACCGCAUACGCUUCUCUUUUCAAGGGGAGAAGGAAAGCUUUUCGCAAGAGAGGCGCUGGGAGAUGGGCCUGCGGCCGAUUAGCUAGCUGGUGGGGUAAUGGCCUACCAGGGCGACGAUCGGUAGCUGGUCUGAGAGGACGAUCAGCCACACUGGGAUUGAGAACGGCCCAGACUCCUACGGGGGGCAGCAGUGAGGAAUUUUCGGCAAUGGGGGCAACCCUGACCGAGCAACGCCGCGUGCAGGACGACGGCCUUCGGGUUGUAAACUGCUUUUCUCUGGGACGAGCAAGGACGGUACCAGAGGAAGAAGCCCGGCUAACUACGUGCCAGCAGCCGCGGU
rnacentral:rRNA from 1 species